GAAUCGUCACAAAUGUUUUCCAUUUGUGGAGAAUCUUUUGUAGAGAGACAGCAGAUUGUUCUGCAGUGACCUUCUAACCCUUCGCAGACUGUUGAAAAACAACAGUUGUCUGCAUUUGUUCGAACAGACUGAUCAUUAACUAAUCUGGAACAUUUGCUUUGUGCUUUUUAACCUCUACAUUCUAAUGACAGAAGCUUCCAGAGGUUGGGUUGUUUUUGUUACAUAAGGCUCUUGAGAAUUAAAAAUGUGGUCAAAUCUGUAGCCUCAGAAUGAUCCCGUGUGGAAUACGCUUCAAUAAUUAUGCUAAAAUCUCAGCAGUAAUCUUGUGUUGAAAGGCUCAAAUUGGGUAAAGACACAUCGCCAUGGCAACUUAAAGAGGAAAACAGUACAGAAAGCAGAGAGGAAGAUUCAUUGUCAUCUGGGGAGUUUCUGCUGCUCAAGAGCGGUCGAUUGAACCAUUUAACUAUUGCAACGCAAGACAAGCCCCCGUGGAAAACAACAGAAAAAGAUGAAGGGAUGGACGGCUUCUCAGACACAAAUGGACAGAUUUAAGCAACAGGGAGAGCAUGUGUGGUGGCAGUUGGUCCCAUCAUGUGACAUCCCCUUGGCAGAGAAGAGGAAACUGGGAGUGGUGGCUGGCUGGCUGACUGUCACAACUAGGUUUAUGCCUGAUUGGACGUUAGUUAGCAACACGGCCACUCCUUUCUGUGCACAAGCUAAUCUCCUGGUGGCAGCCCCACAGGAUGGAAGAUAAUAUUUAGGAGGAAGAAGGCAUCGACCCAGAGUGAACCUUCAUGGCUGCGGCAACACACGAACACCCGUCUUCUUUUGUGGCUCAGCUGCACAUACACAUAUGCCUGGUCAUAGAUGGCAGAUGACACUGUGGGAAAUAUUCUGUAACCAAGGUUUCUUGGGAUGAUUUUGGUCAUUACCCUGUGAUCUUACACCACAGAAAUACAUGCUUGCAUUAAUAUAGAAGACAUACCACUGAUGAACACUGACAGCUGUGUGGUUUCCCAGCUGAAACACUUUGUGGAUGCUGCUUCUUCUUCUCAGCAUCAAAACUUUAAACUCAACUUGACGUUAAAUUACAGCCCAGCUUGGCGGGUGGAAAACCAGCUAUUAAAGGGGCAGCAAAGGUUGAUGUACGGGAGGGAUGUUGAGAAUCCUCAUCGAAAAAUGCAUUAACACAAGGAUGAUCACAUUUGUUCCACUCAUAGUUAGAUCACAUCUAGAUCUGAGUCUCCCUGGAUAACUUUUUAGUUAAACUUGUUCUAUGUCUGAAUUUCAGUGUGAUUUGCCCUGCUUCUUUGAAGUCAGCAUGACUUCUUUUCAUGCUAUUACUCCUCAGAAACAAAACAAAGCCUUUAACUUUUGUUGAAUUUACUACAUUUUUAUUUCAAAAAAAAGAAAAAA